rnacentral:rRNA from 1 species
CGCUGGCGGCAUGCUUUACACAUGCAAGUCGAACGGCAGCGGGGUAGUGCUUGCACUANUGCCGGCGAGUGGCGAACGGGUGAGUAAUAUAUCGGAACGUACCGUAGAUAAUGGGGGAUAACCAAUCGAAAGAUUGGCUAAUACCGCAUACGUCCUAAGGGAGAAAGCGGGGGAUCNCAAGACCUCNCGUUAUUCGAGCGGCCNAUANCUGAUUAGCUAGUUGGUGGGGUAAAGGCCUACCAAGGCGACGAUCAGUAGCGGGUCUGAGAGGACGAUCCGCCACACUGGGACUGAGACACGGCCCAGACUCCUACGGGAGGCAGCAGUGGGGAAUUUUGGACAAUGGGGGCAACCCUGAUCCAGCCAUGCCGCGUGUAUGAAGAAGGCCUUCGGGUUGUAAAGUACUUUUGUUAGGGAAGAAAAGGGAAGUGCUAAUACCACUUUUUGCUGACGGUACCUAAAGAAUAAGCACCGGCUAACUACGUGCCAGCAGCCGCGGUAAUACGUAGGGUGCGAGCGUUAAUC